rnacentral:misc_RNA from 1 species
UAGUCAGGUAUCUGUGGGGAU